rnacentral:rRNA from 1 species
AACGAACGCUGGCGGCAGGCUUAACACAUGCAAGUCGAACGCAUCCUUCGGGGUGAGUGGCAGACGGGUGAGUAACGCGUGGGAACGUGCCCUUCAGUUCGGGAUAACCCAGGGAAACUUGGGCUAAUACCGGAUACGUGCGAGAGCAGAAAGAUUUAUCGCUGAAGGAUCGGCCCGCGUCUGAUUAGCUAGUUGGUGGGGUAAUGGCCCACCAAGGCGACGAUCAGCAGCUGGUCUGAGAGGAUGAUCAGCCACAUUGGGACUGAGACACGGCCCAAACUCCUACGGGAGGCAGCAGUGGGGAAUAUUGGACAAAGGGCGCAAGCCUGAUCCAGCCAUGCCGCGUGAGUGAUGAAGGCCUUAGGGUUGUAAAGCUCUUUCGUCCGGGACGAUAAUGACGGUACCGGAAGAAGAAGCCCCGGCUAACUUCGUGCCAGCAGCCGCAGUAA